ACCCAUGCUUUGUCAAUAGGAGAGAUUGUGACAUAUCUCUGGAACCAGAACCUUAGUGAUGUGACGCUUCUCUCCUGCUGAAGCCAUGCCCACACAAGGGAAAGUGACUUAUCACUGGGCCCAGCACACAGGUCUUUUCCCACAGGGAGCAUUGUGAAACAUCACUGGGCUCAGCCACCAGGUUAUGUGACUCUUCUGCCUGUGCCCUGCUUCCAGAAAAUAUUGUGACAUUCCUCAUACAGCAUCCAGGUGAUGUGACUCUUCUGCUCAUUUUCUACUUACAGGAGACAUGCCCAAAAAAGGGAUUGUGGCAUAUCUCUGAGCCCAGCACCCAAAUGUUGUGACUCUCCUGCCUGAGCUGUGCCUAGAGAAAAUAUUAUAAUAUGUCACCGGACCCUGCAUGCAAGUGAUCCAAUUCUCCAGUCUGGGCCUUGCCCAUAGAGGAGAUUGAGACAUAUUCCAGGUGGAUGGUGACUCUAAGACCAGGAUUCAACACACCUAGAAGGCUUUGACUCUGAUACCAGUCACAGAAGGCUCUGUGACUCUUCUAUUUUCUCUAGGUCAUGCAAAUGGAGGCGGAUUUUGACAUAUCAUAAAGCCAACAUAAUACACAGUCUGCAGGUGGAAUUGGGACUCUCAUGCAUGGAUCCAGUUCAUCAUUGAUACUGUGACUCAUGUACUUGGAUGCAACUCACAGGAGGUGUUGACGCUUUUUACCUGAAGCUGGGACAUGUGUGGAAUUGUGAAUCCUAGCCCUAGAUCUUCCCACAGGUCAUGCAAAUGGAGGGGGAUUGUUACAUAUCAUAGGGCCAACACAAAAAUAAUGUAAAACUCCUGCCUGAGCCAUGCCCAUAGAAGGCAUUGUGACAUAUCACCCGUCACAGCACUCAGGUGGGAUUUUGACAUAUAACUGCACCCAGCACACAGGUGAAGUAUCUCGUAUGCUCAUCCUGCCAAAAGUUAUGAGUGUCACCCUCACACAUGGACAGAGACCUCUGGUUAGGUCUUGAAUCUUGUACAUGGACACAGUCCGCAGUUGGAAUGUCAUAUGUAGAUCCAGCCACAGGUGUGAUGUUGACCUAUUUAUAAAGUUAGCUCACAGGCACAUUGAUAACUCUCAUACCUGGAUCCAGCCAAUAAAAGAUAUGUUGACUA
rnacentral:lncRNA from 1 species